rnacentral:rRNA from 1 species
ACUUUGCGUACUCCAUCUGGCGGCGUGCCUAAUACAUGCAAGUCGAGCGGAGUUUUGAAAAGCUUGCUUUUCAAAACUUAGCGGCGGACGGGUGAGUAACACGUGGGCAACCUGCCCUUGAGACGGGGAUAACUCCGGGAAACCGGAGCUAAUACCGGAUAACACAUAUCUUCGCAUGAGGAUAUGUUAGAAGGUGGCUUUUAGCUACCACUCAAGGAUGGGCCCGCGGCGCAUUAGCUAGUUGGUGAGGUAACGGCUCACCAAGGCGACGAUGCGUAGCCGACCUGAGAGGGUGAUCGGCCACACUGGGACUGAGAUCACGGCCCAGACUCCUACGGGAGGCAGCAGUAGGGAAUCUUCCGCAAUGGACGAAAGUCUGACGGAGCAACGCCGCGUGAGUGAUGAAGGUUUUCGGAUCGUAAAGCUCUGUUGUUAGGGAAGAACAAGUACCUGUUAAAUAAGCAGGUACCUUGACGGUACCUAACCAGAAAGCCACGGCUAACUACGUGCCAGCAGCCGCGGUAAUACGUAGGUGGCAAGCGUUGUCCGGAAUUAUUGGGCGUAACAGCGCGCGCAGGCGGUUCCUUAAGUCUGAUGUGAAAGCCCACGGCUCAACCGUGGAGGGUCAUUGGAAACUGGGGAACUUGAGUGCAGAAGAGGAGAGCGGAAUUCCACGUGUAGCGGUGAAAUGCGUAGAGAUGUGGAGGAACACCAGUGGCGAAGGCGGCUCUCUGGUCUGUAACUGACGCUGAGGCGCGGAAAGCGUGGGGAGCGAACAGGAUUAGAUACCCUGGUAGUCCACGCCGUAAACGAUGAGUGCUAAGUGUUAGAGGGUUUCCGCCCUUUAGUGCUGCAGCAAACGCAUUAAGCACUCCGCCUGGGGAGUUACGGUCGCAAGACUGAAACUC